GCCGGCGUAGCUCAGUUGGUUAGAGCGACGGUCUCAUAAUCCGUAGGUUCGUAGGUUCGAGUCCUACCGCCGGCACCA
rnacentral:tRNA from 1 species